rnacentral:rRNA from 1 species
CCUACGGGAGGCAGCAGUGAGGAAUAUUGGUCAAUGGCCGUAAGGCUGAACCAGCCAAGCCGCGUGAAGGAAGAAGGAUCUAUGGUUUGUAAGCUUCUUUUAUAGGGGAAUAAAGGUAUCCACGUGUGGAUAUUUGCAUGUACCCUAUGAAUAAGCAUCGGCUAACUCCGUGCCAGCAGCAGCGGUAAUACGGAGGAUGCGAGCGUUAUCCGGAUUUAGUGGGUUGAAAGGGUGCGUAGGUUGUAUUUAAAGUCAGCGGUGAAAGUUUGUGGCUCAAGCGUAAAAUUGCCGGGGAAACUGGACGGCUGGAGUGUGUGUGAGGUAGGUGGAAUGCGUGGUGUAGCGGUGAAAUGCAUAGAUAUCACGCAGAACACCGAUUGCGAAGGCAGCUUACUAAGCCAUAACUGACGCUGAAGCACGAAAGCGUGGGGAUCAAACAGGAUUAGAUACCCUUGUAGUC